AAAUGAGCUCUCUUACCCUUUCCACCAGGUAAGGACACAAGAAGGAGGUGGCCAUCUACAACCUAUCAGAUGGCUCUCGACAGAACCCAACCCUCCUGGAACCCUGAUUUCAGACUGCCAGCAUCCAGAAUUGUGGUGAAAUUUCUAUAGUUUAUAAGCCACUCAGUCUAUGGUCUCAGCCUCCUGCCAGAAAGAACGAGAUGAGAAUGUCCAUCACACCAGCAACUCUAAGCCACCUUUCUCUGUGAUGCUUUAAUUGAUGAUUAUUUAUUUUCCAUAAUAAUCUCAUUAAUUUUCUUCUGAAGAGUUAUCUUUUGUGUUUAUCAGCGAAAAAUGCCAGGAGCAGAUAAAUACUAUUAGAGAAAGCUACUCAGGCUGGGCCAGCUGCCAUGUAAUUGGACUGAGAUGAAGGAGGUUUGGGUUGGAAGCUCAGUGAUUUCUACAGCACUGAGGUCUUUCUGGGAAAGAACAUUCUCCUUUGGCCAGAGGAAUGGGAGGCUCAGGAGCCUUCUCAGUACCUUGAAGAACUACUAUCUUCAUCACCACCAUCCUCACCGCCAUCACCAUCACCAGCAUCACCAUUGUCAUCAUCUCUAUCAUCAUCAUCGCCAUCAUUUUUAGCAGCAGCAGCAGCAGUAUUGCCACCAUCAUGAUCGUAAUUAUCAACACUAUCAUCACCACCAUCACCAUCAGCAUCACGAACAUCAUCAGCAUAACUGUCAUCACUGCCACCAUUGCCAUCAUCAUCUCCAUCAUCAUCAUCGCCAUCACCAUCUUAAUUAUCAUCAGCACCAUCAUCGACACCAUCAUCAUUGUCAUCACUACAUUUACCAUGUAUCCACUCUAUAUCAGGUCCUCUAUUGUUUUACUCACAAGAUUUUCUAAAAAUAGCAUUCAAAGUCCAAAGCACUUUUUUUGUUAAAGAUUCUGUAAACUAACCUAAGUUAUGAAAAUAGAGGUACAUGCAGGAUACAUGAUGUUCACCAUCACAUAUGUAGCAUGCAACCAUGAACCCCCGUGACAUGCCAUCCACAGUUGCCAGAGUGGCUGGGAGACUCACAUGUGCACUGUGCAUGCGGGGAGCAGCUCUGAAGAUGGG
rnacentral:lncRNA from 1 species